rnacentral:lncRNA from 1 species
GGUACUUUUUGGUUGGAUUCGUUUGUGUGGUGUAACAUGUUAUUGUUGGCAAGAAAAGAGAUUGUUGGUUAUUGUAACAAUUUUUUGCCCUCUAUUUUGCAUUUUAGGUGAAUGUGACUGUCAAAGUGCUCCAGUUGGCUGAAGAUACUCAAUCUAUGACCCGUAGCAAUCAAAGAUUGCAAAGAAGGUCUUACAAUGUGGCAGAUCAAACAUGUGGUUUGUCAUUGACUGUCUGGGGAGGAGAUAUGCUACAAAUAGGGAUGUGGUAUACAAUGAAGAGUACAUCUGUUCGACUGUUUGACGGUUGCACAUGUUUGUCUACUACUAAAGAGUCUUCUAUAAUACUUGUGCCUGAUGUAUCAAGCAAUGUUGCGCCAGUAAUUGACAGUUGUAAAGUCAAAGAGGGAGAAUGUGUGACAGCAGAGGUCAAAGAAGAGUACCAAUGUCCGAAGCUGCAUCCUUUGCCUGCGGUCAAUUUCCAAACACUGAUGACAAGAUGUCCACAAUGUGCAGCAUACUGCAAAACAACAAGAGUAAUGUCUAUUGUUCGUGCAACUGUCACUAUACAGGACAAGAGUAAUAAACUGAGUACUUUUGUAAUCCAAGAUGCUGUGCUUUGUGAGUUGCUGGAUGUGCAAAUGAGCAGUCGGGUGGAACCAGAUGAGUUUGCAGCGAAGUUGCUCAUUGAUGACCAUGGCCAUUUGCACAUAAAAUACAGAGGACAACGUGUUGUUUUUGCAUCAUUCAUGUUUGAUUCUGAGUCAGCAAAUCAGUCUGCUGAAGCACAAGGGAGAGACAUCGUGGCUGAUAGAUCAAGAAAAGAACAAUGUACGGAGUCAAUGUCCGAAGAUUUGACGCUUGAAGAAUUGUUUGAGCUUGAAACUCCUGAAUGUUCACAGAGCCAGCGGUAUGAGCAGAAGGGUAAAGGAGGUGAUUUUGAGUCAGCAAAACAGUGUUUAGAGACAGAAGGGAAAGCUGUGGUAAGUAGUGCAAGCAUGCAACAAUUUACAGAAUCAAUGUCUGAAAAUGUGAUGCUUGAACAAUUGUUUGAUUAGAAUAAAUACAAUGUUUAUAGUUUAUACAACUUUAUUCAGUGCACAGCUAAGUUUAAACAAAGUACUAUCACUGUCGGCUUUAUAUACGAGUGCACUUUACAAAAAGUCCAAAGAAACUGCAGGACAUAAGAAAAG